rnacentral:tRNA from 1 species
GGGCCUGUAGCUCAGUUGGUUAGAGCAGUACACUCAUAAUGUAUUGGUCCCAGGUUCGAGUCCUGGUGGGCCCCCCA